rnacentral:lncRNA from 1 species
UAAAUUGGUUUUAGUAUGUCCUGGAUAUCAAAAUGUAUACACAUGUGACAUAGAUGGAUACUAUCACCUAGAUAAUCUCUGCCUUAUGUCUGAAAAUGAUGAUUCAUGGGUUUGGCAUCGUAGACUAGGACACAUCAACAUGAAGCUAAUUAAUAACAUUUUAUCUAAAGAACACAUGUGUGGUCUUCCUAAGUUAAAGUUCUUAAAAG